GGAAAAGGUUCACUACAUUUUUCAUUUAUAAUUGAUAAUUUAUACAAGCUUUGACAAGUACAUGAUUAGACAAAAGAAAGCAUUACCUAUUACAUCUUUAACUUUAACAAGUAAUAAGCUUACUUAUAGACUGAAAUUAACUUGUCCAGAAAGAAACAAAAACAUCAUUACAUCUUGAGUCUUCUAGAAAAAUCUCAACAGCUAACAUUAUCUUCUAUCACUGAGAAUCUAUUUGAAGACAACAUCUAAGCAACAGGAAGUACCAUAGCUGAUAAAGAGUCUGUAAUGCUGUCCUCGUGAGGCUCUCUAUGCACUACAGUCUGUUGUAGCUCCAAUGCAUAUUCCAAGUCCCAGCACACAUCAAGCAUUGUAGGCCGCUCAGCUCCUUCCAGCUUCAAACACUUCUCAACUAUUUCACCAAACUUUCUUAAUGAAGGGGGAUUAAUAUGACCCACUAGUGAAGGAUCAAUAAUUUUUUCGAGUUUGCCUUUCUUUUGCCAAAACAAUCCCCAUUCAGCUAAGUUUAUUUCCUCCCUCUGAGAUGAAUUUAUAAUGGGUGGUCGAGCACAAAGCACUUCUAGAAGUACCACACCAAAAGAGUACACAUCGGAUUUAUGUGUUAACUGACAAGUUUUGAAAUAUUCAGGAUCAAAAUAACCAAAACUACCUUUUAUUCCCAAGCUGAAAUGAUCUAGAUCAGAAGGACCCGACUGUGAAAGACCAAAAUCAGCAACUUUGGCCACAUAAUACUCAUCGAGCAAAAUGUUUGUUGAUUUUACAUCUCGGUGAAUGAUUCCCCCAUCUGAAACAGUGUGAAGGUAAUGAAGGCCCUUAGCCGUGCCAACACAAAUUUCAAGCCUUUGCUUCCAAGACAAUUCAGAUUGCAUAAACGAACUCUUGGAGUUGUCUUUCCAAUUGUAUAGAUGGUCUCUCAAAGUCCCCUUUUCCAAUAAUUCAUAAACCAGUAUCAUCUCA
rnacentral:misc_RNA from 1 species